GGUGGGUUGGCUCAGUGGGUAGAGCUGAAGGCUCGCGACCGGGAGUUUCGGGUUCGAAUCUCGCAAGAGGCG
rnacentral:tRNA from 1 species